CUUAGUACUGCGAGUGAAGAGGAAAAGCUCAAAUUUAAAUCUGGCAGCGCUUCGCUGUCCGAGUUGUAACCUAGAGAAGUGUAACCUGUGCUGGACCGUGUACAAGUCUCCUGGAAUGGAGCAUCAUAGAGGGUGAGAAUCCCGUCUUUGACAUGGACUACCAGUGCAUUGUGGUUGCGCUCUCAACGAGUCGAGUUGUUUGGGAAUGCAGCUCUAAAUGGGUGGUAAAUUCCAUCUAAAGCUAAAUAUUGGCGAGAGACCGAUAGCGAACAAGUACCGUGAGGGAAAGAUGAAAAGAACUUUGGAAAGAGAGUUAAACAGUAUGUGAAAUUGUUGAAAGGGAAACGUUUGAAGUCAGUCGCGUUGGUUGGGGAUCAGCCUGACAUUGUUGGGUGUACUUCCUGGUCGACGGGCCAACAUCAGUUUUGACUGCCAGAAAAAGGCCAGAGGAAUGUGGCACCCUUGGGUGUGUUAUAGCCUUUGGUCGUAUAUGGUGGUUGGGACUGAGGAAAGCAGCGCGCCGAAAGGCCGGGUUUCGACCACGUUCACGCUGAGGAUGUUGGCAUAAUGGCUUUAAGCGACCCGUCUUGAAACACGGACCAAGGAGUCUAACAUGCAUGCGAGUGUUUGGGUGGAAAACCCUUACGCGUAAUGAAAGUGAAAGUUGAGAUCCCUGUCGCGGGGAGCAUCGACGCCCGGACCAGAACUUUUGGGACGGAUCUGCGGUAGAGCACGUAUGUUGGGACCCGAAAGAUGGUGAACUAUGCCUGAAUAGGGUGAAGCCAGAGGAAACUCUGGUGGAGGCUCGUAGCGAUUCUGACGUGCAAAUCGAUCGUCAAAUUUGGGUAUAGG
rnacentral:rRNA from 1 species